GUUUCCGUAGGUGAACCUGCGGAAGGAUCAUUACUGAUUUGGCAAACCGAGCGUUAGCAAGGUUUUGCGAUCAAAACAUAUAUUUAAAACCCCACUCUUUUAAAAUGUAUAUUUCUUAUUUUGAAUGAUAAAAUUAAAAGAUCACUUUCAACAACGGAUCUCUUGGCUCUCACAUCGAUGAAGAACGUAGCGAAGUGCGAUAAGUAAUGUGAAUUGCAGAAUUCCGUGAAUCAUCGAAUCUUUGAACGCAUAUUGCACUUUCUGGUAUUCCGGAGAGUAUGCCUGUUUGAGGGUCUGUUAAAUAAAAAUCGAGGUUGUUGCUGCCUUUUUGUGUGGUGACGCUUUGGAAUUGGGUCUUCUUUACCUUCGGGUUAAGUGGCCUAAAAUUUUUACAUGAUUUUUCGAACGUAUUUAAAUCUUUUACGUACGUUUGGUUAUAUCGAAUAUAUUAGUUGUGGUCAUCCUCAUGAUUCACGUCUAUAAUUUUUUCAUUUUUAGACCUCAAAUCAGGUAAGAACACCCGCUGAACUUAAGCAUAUCAAUAAGCGGAGGA
rnacentral:rRNA from 1 species